ACAAUCAGCACAAUCGAUGCUUCUCUCUCAAAUGUCUGCAAUUUGCAUCAAGGAGGAAAACCCCCAAAUCGGUCCCUCUCUCUAAUCUCAUCCCUCACUUUCAUUCUUCCCGAAAUUUAUCAAUAUCCCUUCCUACAUCAGAGGCGACGCCUCCAUUUGCUUCGAGUCGGCAGGAAUCUCACUGAUGCUGCUCAUGUCGUCAUGGCCGGAUAGUACCGCCGCUGUUCGUCACUCCUCAACGCCGACGUGCCCCACCUCGCAGCGCGGCCCUUUGUCGCCAUUGAUUCGUCGCUGCCCCGUGGUGAUCUUUGGCUCCGUCGUUACUCGGCUUCCGCCGGACAACCUUACGCUCUAAGUUACGUCCCUUAUCUCUUUCUUAUCCUUUUAAAGCUUGGUCUGUUAGACCUUGUGUUCUUGGGCAGUAGCUAUGUUGGAGCCUUUCGAUUGUGGUGAUUUAAGGUUGUGAUCUAGCUGAGAAAUUACCUGCUACACUAUUCUUUUUUUACUGACUGUUAUGGUUUGGUUAGGCAUUGGCUCACAAAGAUCAUAUCUUUGGCUAUUGAUGUUAUUUUAUGACUUUAUGAGGGGUCAUGCUUCUAUGAUUCUAUGUUCUUGACUAUUUAUAGUGCAUUCUCUAAAUGAUGCAAGAGUGUGUUGUGGCGUUACCUACUGAGAAUGAGGCUGUGAAGGGUUGAGGGAUCUCUGGCCGAGCUUAACACGAGUUUUCCUGGUUUGCUAUGCUGCUGAAACUUCGCUAAUAUGUGUGUAGAAGAAAUCGUCAGGUCCAGGAAGGAAGGAAGAUAAUCGCCUGGCGAAGGAAAUUGGCGAGAAAGUGAGCAGAAUGAAGAAAAAUUGCCAGACGGAGGAGAUCAUUAGCUGGAGGGCAGAUGGAGGAGAUCAUUAGCUGGAGGGCAGAACGGAGAAUUCAAGAGAAAAGCUUCUAGAAGAUCGCCUCCACAUCUAUAAAAGAGAGAGCAUGCAACAUGAAAAAGGGGGGGAUUUUUUUUACUUUUUUGCUCUGAGCUCACUUUCACACACUUCUACAUAUACUUGGGGUGAUCGGAAAUCUGGGGGUUUUGGGGUCAUUUUCGGUUUGAUGUUGUGUACUACCGUCCCUACGUAGGGCGAAGAAACAUUUUACUGUUUUCAUUUUAGUUUUCUGUUUAGAUUUCUACCCAGUCUUCGCUGUUCGAAGCUCGACUUUCGUUCUGUUAUUGAAAUCUCGUUUAGUUAUCUAUGGAAUUUCUAUUUUCUGUCA